rnacentral:rRNA from 1 species
AUUGAACGCUGGCGGCAGGCCUAACACAUGCAAGUCGAGCGGCAGCGGGAAAGUAGCUUGCUACUUUUGCCGGCGAGCGGCGGACGGGUGAGUAAUGCCUGGGAAAUUGCCCAGUCGAGGGGGAUAACAGUUGGAAACGACUGCUAAUACCGCAUACGCCCUACGGGGGAAAGCAGGGGACCUUCGGGCCUUGCGCGAUUGGAUAUGCCCAGGUGGGAUUAGCUAGUUGGUGAGGUAAUGGCUCACCAAGGCGACGAUCCCUAGCUGGUCUGACAGGAUGAUCAGCCACACAGGAACGGAGACACGGUCCAGACUCCUACGGGAGGCAGCAGUGGGGAAUAUUGCACAAAGGGGGAAACCCUGAUGCACCCAGCCCGGGUGUGUGAAGAAGGCCUUCGGGUUGUAAAGCACUUUCAGCGAGGAGGAAAGGUUGAUGCCUAAUACGUAUCAACUGGGACUUUACUCGCAGAAGAAGCACCGGCUAACUCCGUGCCAGCCGCCGCUGUAACAC